rnacentral:rRNA from 1 species
GAUGAACGUUGGCGGCGUGCCUAAUACAUGCAAGUCGAGCGAACAGACGAGGAGCUUGCUCCUCUGACGUUAGCGGCGGACGGGUGAGUAACACGUGGAUAACCUACCUAUAAGACUGGGAUAACUUCGGGAAACCGGAGCUAAUACCGGAUAAUAUAUUGAACCGCAUGGUUCAAUAGUGAAAGACGGUUUUGCUGUCACUUAUAGAUGGAUCCGCGCCGCAUUAGCUAGUUGGUAAGGUAACGGCUUACCAAGGCAACGAUGCGUAGCCGACCUGAGAGGGUGAUCGGCCACACUGGAACUGAGACACGGUCCAGACUCCUACGGGAGGCAGCAGUAGGGAAUCUUCCGCAAUGGGCGAAAGCCUGACGGAGCAACGCCGCGUGAGUGAUGAAGGUCUUCGGAUCGUAAAACUCUGUUAUUAGGGAAGAACAAAUGUGUAAGUAACUAUGCACGUCUUGACGGUACCUAAUCAGAAAGCCACGGCUAACUACGUG